rnacentral:rRNA from 1 species
UGAGGAAUAUUGGUCAAUGGGCGAGAGCCUGAACCAGCCAAGUAGCGUGCAGGAUGACUGCCCUAUGGGUUGUAAACUGCUUUUAUGCGGGGAUAAAGUGCGGCACGUGUGCCUUUUUGUAUGUACCAGUAUGAAUAAGGACCGGCUAAUUCCGUG